AGUUGUAAGUUGUAACAUAGGUAAAUCACAUUUCAUCUGAUGAGUCAACAAUCAACGUUAAGCUAGCUUCGAAAAUUACCAAUGAUUCAUAGGUAAACUCGAGUGAUUUCGUCUGUAAUAACUUGUCGGUGAUGUGUUCUAUUCCGUGUAUAUGUUGGAUAACCUUAAUGUUUUUCAUCAACUCACAGUCAGAGUAAACGUGAAAGUCAUGCAAUCUAUCGUCAACUAUUUUGUUCAAACUCAUUGUACUCUACUGAAUGUGUCAUCAAAAUUAUACAGAUCACCGACCCCAGCAUGGAACAGUCUCUCAUUCCAUCUUAUAGAGAAUCUUGGAUAACUGAUUUGUGGUUUCAUGUGUUUCUAAAUUGGCAUGACUGACUAUAUGAGAAGUUAUGUACCAAGAAAAGGUAGAAAACAAGAUUCCUUGUUUGCUAACCGUUGGCUGCUACCCAUGAAUCUCCCUAUUUUUCAACAACAAAAAAAGAGGUUAAAUAUUGUGAUCAUGCUAUCAUCAUUAUGUUGCCUAUAAGACCAUUCAUGUGGGGC